rnacentral:rRNA from 1 species
UACGUAGGGUGCGAGCGUUAAUCGGAAUUACUGGGCGUAAAGGGGGCGCAGGCGGUUCUGCAAGUCAGGCGUGAAAGCCCCGGGCUUAACCUGGGAAUGGCGCUUGAAACUACAGGACUGGAGUAUGGCAGAGGGAGGUGGAAUUCCACGUGUAGCGGUGAAAUGCGUAGAGAUGUGGAGGAACACCGAUGGCGAAGGCAGCCCCCUGGGUUAACACUGACGCUCAUGCACGAAAGCGUGGGGAGCAAACAGG